AAGCACAGACAGGCGGGAAGGUCGGGGCUGAUGUGGCAUCUUUUCCCCUUGCUGAGUGCAGAGCGAGGCCAGCCCUGUGAGACAAAGCAACUUAUCUAAGGCCACCGGGUGUCGGGCUUGCAAGGAGCUGUCUCUGGGCUCUCACGAGGACCUCCCGGCGCAUGCCAGCCCCUCAUGCUUGCACUGCACUCGAUAUUUCAAAGCACUGUGUCAUCUGAAGCUAACUUUGAGGGGCUGUGGCAGCAGGGGCACUAACCUCAUUUCCCUGGUGGGCGAAACUGAGGCCCAACACUGUGACCAUAAUUCUCUGCUAAGCCCUGUAUCCUAGCCCUGUUCAUCAGCCCGGUCUGAUGAGGAUGGCCCCACUGAAGAGCCACACUCUGGUGGGGACCCCUCGAGACUUAGCAGCUAUUCCUUAAUUCCUGUAUUCAUUUCACAAAAUGUUUCAGGUGCCUGCCCUGUGACCCAAUGGGAUGCAGCAGUGAGCAGUUUCUACAGCUUCCCCCGUGCUGGCCCAUCUCAGUGCAGAAACGGGGUCAUUGCUGUCACAAGUUAGGGGUGUGAAUCCACUUCUUCUGAUCGUGGCUGGUCCAGUAAGGGUAAAGAAUUAACUAAUGUUAAUGAGGCGAUCCUCAGUCCUGCUCUCACCUGGUUUUGUUGUAAAUUCAGAGAGAUUGUGCUGUGGAUGAAAGAUGCGUUUACUGGGACAGGAAUGGACAUUUGUGAAAUUUCAAUCCUAAUUUCACUGUGGAUUGCCUUUCAUUCUUUCAUUGACUGGUGCAGAGUAGCAAAUACAUGCUUUUGUACGUCAUUCAGGGUCAGGCCCUGGAGUUACCCUGUGAACAGUGUGGGGCUCUCACCUUGCAGGGGCGGCCAGUCUAGCAAUACAGGAGACAGAUAGCACAACAUGGGGACACAAGACACCACAGGAGUGUGGUGCUCCCUGCGUGAGACCUUCAGUGGCUUCUUGUUUCUCGGGAAAAAUCCACAUACUUUACCACACCCUUCAAGGCUCUGGUUGACCGGCCUCAUCUUAUCUCUCUGGCCUCAUCUUACCACUUGUUGGGCUCCGCACCAGCUUCCUUCUGUUCCUCACUCUCCCAGACCAUUGCUGCCACAGGAGAAGUCAUCGAUUUGUGGGUGGGGCAGACACCUUCAUGGAAAGAUGUCACUCAGAGAGCCUGGGCCCACCCAUACACAAACCACCUGCUCCUCUCUCAGCGACUGCUAGGUCCUGGCAUGUGCUAGGCCCUGCGACCCCUGUCCCCAAGGACCGAUUACUCUUCUAUACAAAGGGCACAAACAUGGAACACUGAACAACCCUGAAAGAGCCAGAGUGAACCAGAGGUCACUGGGCUGAAAGCGAUUGAGAGUUAGCCAGAAACUAGAGAGAAGAAGCAGUGGAUAUAAGCUGUAAGGUGAAGGUUGGGGGGCAGCUAGGUGAUCUGGGGAGAAGGCUGUACUAUUGGCUGUAACAGAACUCUAAACUGGACCAACACUGAGGCGGCCCACACUAUGUUUCAGCGUAAGCCAGAGAAAGACCACCUGGAUUUGAACCCCAGCUCUGUCUUUUAACCCGCUGUGUGUGAGGCCCAAUGACUCAGCCUCCCAGAGACUAGGUUUUCUCAUGUGCAAAGUGGGGAUAAUAACGCCUGCUUCACAGGACAGAGGUGAGAUGGUAGAGAUACGGGGCCUGGUACGUUUUGUAAAUGAUCAGCCUGUGAGCACUGUCCCCUGCCAUCUCCCCCCAGCCUCCCCACCCUCAUGUUGCUGCCGGAGAGAAGGAUGCUUGACAGAGCAUGGGGCCACCCUUAGAUCUUAGAGUCAGGCAGGGUAUAACUAAAGGGGAACUGGGGUGCCUGGCUGGCUCAGUCAGAGAAGCCUGCGACUCUUGAUCUCAGGGUCAUGAGUUCAAGCCUGACGUUGGGUGUGGAGAUUACUUAAAUAGAUAAAACUUAAAAAAAUAAAUAAAAAAUAAAGGCGAACUUACAGAAUUCAAAUAAACCACCCAGGUGACUGGCACCUGAGUCACUUCACCCUGGGCCCAGUUCUGCUUUAUAGAUUAAGGGGGCUGGUGGGUCAGGGGUCUCCAAAUGCAGCAGUGCUGGGGAAAUGCAGGCAGGUCCCCAGGCCUCCACCCAGACCCACCAAAUCAGAGUCCUUGAGGGUGGGGCCCCGGAACCAAAUUGUUUAAAAGCUCCCCAGAUAAUUCCAGGGUGCAGCUAGGUCUCAGAACUAUCAGCCAGCUGCCCCCUGAAAAGCCUUUUCAGCCGUUAGAGUCUGGGUUUCUAUUCGCAUCAAAUGCCCUGUGCUGCCCUGGGGGUCUUCUGUCUGGCCCUGAGCUCAUCUGCUGUCCUCAGAGAUAGGGCAGUUCCUCUGGUGCUGCUCACUCCACAAAACCACGAUUCAGGACCACUGAGUGUGGAAAUAAAUCUUGAGGGGCGCCUGGGUGGCCUAGUCGGAUGAGCAUCCAACUUUGACUCAGGUCAUGAUCUCAGGGUUCAUGAGUUUGAGCCCCGCAUCGAGCUCGCUGCUGUUAACAGAGAACCCGCUUUGGAUCCUCUGUCUCCCUCUCUCUCUGCCUGUCCCCAACCCCCCCCCCCCCGCCCCAUCCCUCCCUCUCUCUAAACUAAAUAAACAUUGAACAAAAGUAAAUCUUGAGCACUGUCCGGUGCCUUGCUCUGAACAUCAUCUGCAAGGGGAGGAAACAGCUAACCUCUGAGGCCUGGGAUGCUUUCUUGCCACAUAUCAGCUGCAUAUAAAGGGGAAAUACAUCUCUGAGGCUGGAGAUACAUUACAGAGGAAAAGCUAGACCAGCAACCUUUUCUUCUGAUGGAGCGGCAGCUCCCUACCAAAGAAAGAAAAUGAAAUUCUGCACAGUUCCUGCUGGUCUUAGAUUGUCCUCCUGCAAGAACAUAAAAAUUAUUUACCAUCACUGAGGUUCUUUCCAAAUUGCCCGAAACGGCUAUAAACUUCCCGGCUUUAUCUAGGGAGCCUUUGAGUUGGUGAGUUACUGUUCACGUAGUGAAUUCUUACUGCAAAUCCAGCAUUAACAGAUUUCCCCCAUGAAGGCAGGUAAUUUGUUGGACUCUGAGUGCUUUUACGGAGCUGGGGUUGAGGGGGGCUUGAAGAAAGAGGUUUUACUUACAGUUUCUAAGUGAGUGAUUAAAAAAACUAGGUAAAAAAGGUUUCAGACUAUUAGUACCACAGCAGCAGAUGUAUCAGCAAAAGCCAAAAGGGAUUGUCAUAAGUUAUAUGGGGGGUGGGGUGGGGUGUGUGG